GGCCGCGGGAAUUCGAUUCAGGCCUAACACAUGCAAGUCGAGCGGUAGAGAGAAGCUUGCUUCUCUUGAAAAAAAAAGGACGGGUGAGUAAUGCCUAGGAAUCUGCCUGGUAGUGGGGGAUAACGUUCGGAAGCGGACGCUAAUACCGCAUACGGCCUACGGGAGAAAGCAGGGGGCCUUCGGGCCGUGCGCUAUCAGAUGAGCCUAGGUGGGAGUGGCUAGUUGGUGAGGUAAUGGCUCACCAAGGCUACGAUCCGUAACUGGUCUGAGAGGAUGAUCAGUCACACUGGAUUUGGGACACGGUCCAGACUCCUACGGGAGGCAGCAGUGGGGAAUAUUGGACAAUG
rnacentral:rRNA from 1 species